AUUGAACGCUGGCGGCAGGCCUAACACAUGCAAGUCGAACGAGUGGCGGACGGGUGAGUAAUGUCUGGGAAACUGCCUGAUGGAGGGGGAUAACUACUGGAAACGGUAGCUAAAACCGCAUACCAUCGGAUGUGCCCAGAUGGGAUUAGCUAGUAGGUGGGGUAAAGGCUCACCUAGGCGACGAUCCCUAGCUGGGCUGAGGGGAUGACCAGCCCAACGGGAACGGGGCCACGGCCCGGAUUCCUCCGGGAGGAAGCAGUGGGGAACAUUGCACAAUGGGCGCAAGCCGGCUGCAGCCAUGCCGCGGGUAUGAAGAAGGCCUUCGGGUGUUAAAGUACUUUCAGCGGGGAGGCGUUACCCGCAGAAGAAGCACCGGCUAACUCCGUGCCAGCAGCCGCGGUAAUAC
rnacentral:rRNA from 1 species